ensembl:lncRNA
CACGGUUCGCGGAGCGCGGGCUGGGGGCCGAGGAGAUGCCACAAGUGCUGCCCCUCCUGCCCCUUUAGCUGCAGAAGGCAGGCAAUCGUGGGGGCAAACCUGGAGCUGUGUCUCACAGACAUGAACACGGCUGUGUGUUUAAAUAAGGGAGUGUGCAGAUGGGCAAGUUUCACUCUGAUGGCCCUCAAGCAUAAUCCCAAAAUAUUUCCUCGGCAGGACCUCUCAGCGAGCAGGCUGGAUGGCGUGCUCUCCAUGGGCUUUUAUUCAGCAAUUCUCAUUGUCCCUUACAUGGCUCCGAGCACUAUUUACUGUACAGCGUCCAAAUUCAGCACUGAAUACAGAUGUGGUCCUCUCCUCGUGGGGCUUUCAGCAGUGCUAUUCACCCCAAGGCUUUAAAAUCAUUACGAGCAAUGUCCUUUCUGAGCUGAUGGCUCCCAAUGCAAGUGUUCCACACCCACUUCCCAGGGGUACCCUGUCAUUUCGGGGCCUUGCUAUUUAUCCUGGAUGCAGAAUUGCUCUCGGUGCCUCUUGUUCCCAAGCCAGCCCCACUGGCAUGCAGCACCCUGUUGCACAACAUCAGCAUGCUUCAUGUCUCUAGCUCUCAUUCAUUCUCACAUCCACCCUUCUCCCCAGCCUGUCUCUUUGUCCUGCCCCUUGCAGGGAGCCUCUGCCCUGCCAGCAGUAAUCCUAAAGUGCUGUGGUUCCCUAGGACUUUCUGGUUCCCACACCUGGCAUGGGAGAUUGAAAAAGCCAUGGCUAACGUUUGCAAAAAUGCUCACUGGCUUUUGUGUGGUCAGCCCAAAAGAUUUCACCAUCCUGUUGGAGAGGUGCCGUGUGGAAGAGAGGACCCUGUGGAUGCCAAGCACAGGGAUCGCGUCACGUUGCCAGCCCAUCCCAUCCCCGCGCUGUUACUCGUACUCCGGCUGCAUUCACGUUACAGCGGAGCAAUCUGAUGGAGACAUCAGCUCGUACAACAGGAGUGCUCAGGAUCAGCCGAGGGCUUGGACAUUCCUGCCACAAAGAAACUGCAGCCAACUCUCUGUCGCUGAGCCAAAGGGAAAGCAGCAUAUGCAUCUUCGGAUGCACUGGACGAGGACAAUUAUUUGCAGUGACCCAAACAAACAUGCCAGCAUCACGUAUUCCUUCUGUACAUUGUGCCAGCAGCGACGAACUCUUUUGAUUUAGAAACAGCACCAAGGUGGGAUAUUGCUAUGGUGGGAUGUGCUCCCGUCCCCUCAGGGCUUCCACGCACCUUCCUGACACAGGGACGUGGUGAUGACUCCCUGGCAGAAACUCUCGCCUGACAAAUUCUUCAUGUACACUACUUCCCUGCCGUUGCAGCCUGGCUGCAUUUAAAUGGACAACGCCGGCUACCUUGGGCGCUUAGUUGCCUUCCUUGCGCAGAAAAGGACGAAUGGGAGGGGCGGGGGGGAAGGGGAGAUGCUCUUGGGAAUAUGGAACGUAACAAAGUUUUGGUUUUUUUUUUUUUUUUCCCCAAAAACCUGCCCUGAUUGCUAAGCAGUAGCCAUACUGCUCACAAAACCCCAGUAUCUAAAACAAAGGAGCAGUGAGGUGUACAGCGGGAAAAGACAGCCCACUGGCUGUACCCAAAAUGCACAUUCCUGCAGGGAAACGGCGCUGUCACGCACAGAAGCG